rnacentral:rRNA from 1 species
AUUGAACGCUGGCGGCAGGCUUAACACAUGCAAGUCGAGCGGAGCGAGGGUGCUUGCACCUUAGCUUAGCGGCGGACGGGUGAGUAAUGCUUAGGAAUCUGCCUAUUAGUGGGGGACAACAUUCCGAAAGGGAUGCUAAUACCGCAUACGCCCUACGGGGGAAAGCAGGGGAUCUUCGGACCUUGCGCUAAUAGAUGAGCCUAAGUCGGAUUAGCUAGUUGGUGGGGUAAAGGCCUACCAAGGCGACGAUCUGUAGCGGGUCUGAGAGGAUGAUCCGCCACACUGGGACUGAGACACGGCCCAGACUCCUACGGGAGGCAGCAGUGGGGAAUAUUGGACAAUGGGGGGAACCCUGAUCCAGCCAUGCCGCGUGUGUGAAGAAGGCCUUUUGGUUGUAAAGCACUUUAAGCGAGGAGGAGGCGCUCUAGGAUAAUACCCUAGAUGGCGUGGACGUACUCGCAGAAAGCC